rnacentral:rRNA from 1 species
AGUCUGGUGCCAGCAGCCGCGGUAAUUCCAGCUCCAAUAGCGUAUACUAAAGUUGUUGUGGUUAAAAAGCUCGUAGUUGGAUUUGUGGUGUGGGUUUUGCUGGUCCGGCGGCUGAUGUCGUUUCGUGUACCGGCGGCCCGCUGCCAUGCGGCGCUUCGGCGCCCAAUUACUGUGAACAAAUCGGAGCGUUCCAGGCAGACUAACGUCUUGAACACUUCAGCAUGGAAUAAUGCGAUAGGACUCGGGCCCUAUUUCGUUGGCUUUGUCGGCUUGAGUAAUGAUUGAUAGGGACAGUUGGGGGUGCUAGUACUCUGCGGCCAGCGGUGAAAUGCUGUGAUUCGCGGAAGACUGACUAGUGCGAAAGCAUUCACCAAGGAUGUCUUCUUUAAUCAAGAACGAAAGUUGGGGGAUCGAAAGUGAUCAGAUACCACUGUAGUCUCAACCAUAAACUAUGCCGACUGGGGAUGGGGGGGCGUUGUGUGGCACCUGUAAGAGGGUGCCUUCCGGACCCCCUCCGCACCCUGUGAGAAAUCAAAGUGUUUGGGUUCCGGGGGGAGUAUGGUCGCAAGACUGAAACUUAAAGGAAUUGACGGAAGGGCACCACCAGGAGUGGAGCCUGCGGCUUAAUUUGACCCAACACGGGAAAACUUACCCGGUCCAGACAUAGUGAGGAUUGACAGAUUGAAGCUCUUUCUUGAUUCUAUGGGUGGUGGUGCAUGGCCGUUCUUAGUUGGUGGAGUGAUUUGUCUGGUUAAUUCCGUUAACGAACGAGACCUCGGGGGGUUUGUUUGCGGUGGGUCGGGCGGCUUUGUUCCGUCCGGCGCGGAGUGCGCGAGCGCUCCCAAGUUCCACCCUCCCAACACGACCGCCGGAGCGAUCCGGAGGAGGUGCGAGGCAAUAACAGGUCUGUGAUGCCCUUCGAUGUCCGGGGCCGCACGUGCGCUACACUGGCGGGUGCAUGGAGCGUUGCCGCGUAUUUUUUGCGCGGGCCGUGGUCGGGAGGCCUCGGAAAUCUUGCAACGCCCGCCGUGAUGGGGAUCGGCCCUUGCAAUUGUGGGCCGUGAACGAGGAAUUCCUAGUAAGCGCGGGUCAUCAGCCCGCACUGAUUACGUCCCUGCCCUUUGUACACACCGCCCGUCGCUACUACCGAUUGGGUGUUAUGGUGAGUUGUUUGGAGUCUGUGCGGUGCUUUUUUGUGUCGCGUGGGUGAAGGACUGCGAGCCUGAACAUCUAGA